GGAUUGGGAGGGUUCUACGGAACCCGUUUGGUGAAUCUAGUGCCGAGAAAAGCCUUCUAUGUGUUGAAUUUCUAGUACCCGUACCCCAAACCGACACAGGUGGGUGGGUAGAGCAUACCUAGGGGCGCGUGAUAACUCUCUCUAAGGAACUCGGCAAAAUGGCCCUGUAACUUCGGGAUAAGGGGUGCCUGCGUGAGCAGGCCGCGGUGAAAUGGCUCUGGCGACUGUUUACCAAAAACACAGGUCUCUGCUAAGUCGUAAGACGAUGUAUAGGGGCUGACUCCUGCCCAGUGCCGGAAGGUUAAGGAAGUUGGUUAGCGCAAGCGAAGCUGGCGACCGAAGCCCCGGUGAACGGCGGCCGUAACAAUAACGGUCCUAAGGUAGCGAAAUUCCUUGUCGGGUAAGUUCCGACCCGCACGAAAGGAGUAACGAUCAGAGCGCUGUCUCGGAGAGAGACACGGCGAAAUAGGAUUGUCCGUGAAGAUACGGACUACCUGCACCCGGACAGAAAGACCCUAUGAAGCUUUACUGUAACUUGGAAUUGUGUUCGGACUUUGUCUGCGCAGAAUAGGUGGGAGGCUAUGAAACGUUCCUCGCGGGGAACUGGAGCCAUCGUUGAGAUACCACUCUGGCAGAGUCUGGAUUCUAACCUACGGGGACAGUUCCAGGUGGGCAGUUUGACUGGGGCGGUCGCCUCCUAAAAUGUAACGGAGGCGCGCAAAGGUUCCCUCAGGCUGGUUGGAAAUCAGCCAUAGAGUGUAAAAGCAUAAGGGAGCUUGACUGUGAGACCUACAAGUCGAGCAGGGACGAAAGUCGGCUUUAGUGAUCCGACGGCACUGAGUGGAAGGGCCGCCGCUCAACGGAUAAAAGUUACUCUAGGAUAACAGGCUGAUCUCCCCCAAGAGUUCACAUCGACGGGGAGGUUUGGCACCUCGAUGUCGGCUCGUCGCAACCUGGGGCGGUAGUACGUCCCAAGGGUUGGGCUGUUCGCCCAUUAAAGCGGCACGUGAGCUGGGUUCAGAACGUCGUGAGACAGUUCGGUCCAUAUCCGGUGUAGGCGUAGGAGCAUUGAAAGGAUCUCUCCUUAGUACGAGAGGACCGGGAGGGACGUACCUCUGGUGUACCUGUUAUCGUGCCAACGGUAAACGCAGGGUAGCCAUGUACGGAGUGGAUAACCGCUGAAAGCAUCUAAGUGGGAAGCCCACCUUAAGAUGAGUGCUCCCUUGAGGCCACGGGAAGACGACCCGUUUGAUAGGCGCUAGGUGGAAGUGCAGUAAUGCAUGCAGCCGAGGCGUACUAAUAGGCCGAUGGCUUGUCC
rnacentral:rRNA from 1 species